UGCCACUAUUACUUUGAAAGCUACUUUCU
rnacentral:piRNA from 1 species